rnacentral:rRNA from 1 species
GAUGAACGCCAGCUACAGGCUUAACACAUGCAAGUCGAGGGGUAACGAGAGGAAAGCUUGCUUUCCUUGUCGACGACCGGCGCACGGGUGAGUAACGCGUAUCCAACCUGCCCCCAACUAAGGAAUAACCUUGCGAAAGUAAGACUAAUACCUUAUAAUUUCCUCAGAUGUCAUCUGACGAGGAAUAAAGAUUUAUCGGUUGUGGAUGGGGAUGCGUCUGAUUAGCUUGUUGGCGGGGUAACGGCCCACCAAGGCAACGAUCAGUAGGGGUUCUGAGAGGAAGGCCCCCCACAUUGGAACUGAGACACGGUCCAAACUCCUACGGGAGGCAGCAGUGAGGAAUAUUGGUCAAUGGGCGAAAGCCUGAACCAGCCAAGUAGCGUGCAGGAUGACGGCCCUAUGGGUUGUAAACUGCUUUUAUACAGGAAUAAAGUUAGCCACGUGUGGUUAUUCGUAGGUACUGUAUGAAUAAGGACCGGCUAAUUCCGUGCCAGCAGCCGCCGUAA